rnacentral:rRNA from 1 species
CGUAGGGGUCUAGCGUUAUCCGGAAUUACUGGGCGUAAAGGGUGCGUAGGUGGUUUCUUAAGUCAGAGGUGAAAGGCUACGGCUCAACCGUAGUAAGCCUUUGAAACUGGGAAACUUGAGUACAGGAGAGGAGAGUGGAAUUCCUAGUGUAGCGGUGAAAUGCGUAGAUAUUAGGAGGAACACCAGUUGCGAAGGCGGCUCUCUGGACUGUAACUGACACUGAGGCACGAAAGCGUGGGGAGCAAACAGGAUUAGAUACCCUGGUAGUCCCUGAG